UACGGGGGGAGCAAACGUUGUUCGGAAUCACUGGGCGUAAAGGGCGUGUAGGCGGCUGGAUAAGUGGGAUGUUAAAUCCCCCGGCUCUACCGGGGACCUGCAUCUCAUACUGUUCAGCUCGAGCACAUCAGAGGAGACUGGAAUUCCCGGUGUAGCGGUGAAAUGCGCAGAUAUCGGGAGGAACACCUAUGGCGAAGGCAGCUCGCUGGGACGUUACUGACGCUGAGACGCGAAAGCGUGGGGAGCAAACAGG
rnacentral:rRNA from 1 species